GUUUUCCUUCCCCCUUCUCCUUUGCUCUCUGUUUUUCAUUGAGAACAUUAUUACAAUCACAUCCUCUCCGUUUCUUAGCCUUGAAAGACUACCUUUCAUCAAUUUAUCUUAUUUUUGGUCCAUUGAUCAAGCUCCUUGCUGGAUUCGAAUCCCCAAAAAAUGGCUCAAUAUGAUUGCCUUUUGUUAGAUCUUGACGAUACCCUUUAUCCUAAAAAUUCUGGUCUUGAAAGAGAAUGUUGAAAGAAUAUUAAAGAUUACAUGGUCGAAAAACUGGGCAUAGAAGAGGACAAAGUUGUGGAAUAAUCCAACAUCUUGUAUAAGAAUUAUGGGUUAACAAUGGCUGGCCUUAAUAGCUGUUGGUUAUGACUUUGACUAUGAUGAUUUUCAUAGGUAUGUUCAUGGACUACUUCCGUACUAGAACCUAAAACCAGAUCCUUCAUUAAGAGUUUAUUGCAGACCUUGCCUCUUAGAAAAAUUAUAUUUACAAAUGCAGACAAGGUCCAUGCCGUUAAAGCUCUUACAAAACUCGGAUUGGAAGACUGUUUCGAAGGGGUUAUAUGCUUUGAGACUCUCAAUCCUACCCAUAAGAACACAGUUUCCGGUGAUGAAGACAUCGAGUUUUUAGGAUCAGCUGCUACUGCAACCUAUGUGCAUACCAGCCCUCAAAUUUUCGACAUGAUGGACCAAUUUGCUCACCACAACCAAGGUGCAACAUUGCCCAAGACCCCCAUUGUUUGCAAGCCGCAAGAAUCUGCCAUAGAGCGUGCUCUCAUUGUUCUCUGACGAUAGCGUCCGCAACAUUCAGGCAGGAA